CUCGGGGCUACCACGGGCUGGGCUCGGGGCUACCUGCCCGAGAUCCGGGGCUACCACGGGCUGGGCUCGGGGCUACCUGCCCGAGAUCCGGGGCUACCACGGGCUGGGCUCGGGGCUACCUGCUCGGGCUCGGGCCCCCCUGCCCGGGCUCUCAUCGCUCGCAGCCCCGGGGAGCCGGGAGGACGCGGCCGGAGCAGAAAAGAAGGAAUCCCAAUCUGGCAGCUGGCUGAGACUUCCCUGACCUCAACAUCUGGGAUCAAACUGACCUGGGCUGGAAACUUUGUGCCACAGGCUGCUGUUCCUGCAGUGCCUGGGAUCAAACCUCACUGCUGAGCCUCAAACCCCACUGCUGAGGCUCCAACCUCACUGCAGAGCCUCCUCUGAUAUCAAACCCCACUGCUGAGCCUCCCCUGGGAUCAAACUUCACUGCUGAGCCUCAAACUCCACUGCUGAGGCUCCAACCUUGCUGCAGAGCCUCCUCUGAUAUCAAACCCCACUGCUGAGCCUCCAGUCUCACUGCUGAGGCUCCCCUGACAUCAAACCCCACUGCUGAGGCUCCCCCAUGCUUGCAGAACCUGCAGAACCCAAAGGAAACGCUGGCUCCUGGAUGCCCCAGUCCUAAUCGUCCUUCUGCAGGAAUUGUGAGAACACUCCCCAGUCCCAAUGAGGCCCAGGUUCCAGGAGGCUCCUGCAGCUGCACUUUUGGCCUCAGCAGAUGAUGAGAGCUUUGCUGAGCUCAACUGCACCAGGGACACGGAGAGGGAGCAGCUGGAGGGGUCCCUGUCCUCCACCAUCGCCCUCAUUGUCGUGCUGCUCCUCAUCUCCUCCCUGCUCAUCACAUCCCUCAUCACCUACUGCUUCCACAAGUGGAAACUCCGAGGGAAAAGACUGCAGAAAGCACAAGAGGAGUACCAGAGAGACCAAGAAAAGAGCAUUUGCCAAAGCACACCUGGGCUUGUUUCAUAAAAAGAGGAAAGCCAGGAUCCACCAUGAAGUACUCUUGAAUUAUCUGGAAGUGGAAAUCAUGAGAGAACUGCAAAUUUGAGAUUUCCAAGCAAAUGCAUUCUUGUUUUAUCUCAUUUCUAAGAGUUGUUAGCAGUUUGGAGAUUUCCUACAGCUUUAUUAUACAUAUAUAUAUAUAUAUAUAUUUAUACAUUUAGUCUCAUUUGUGCAAAGUAAAACCAAUGCAAUGAUGUAUUUUUAAUCUCUUCUGUCCUUUGAAUCCUCGCUGGGAAAAUUGUGGCAGUGCCUGUGAGGGUGGGGAGGCCUGGAAUAGAAUUCCCAGAGCAGCUGUGGCUGUUCCUGGAUCCCUGGAAGUGUCCAAGGCCAGGCUGGAUCACCUGGGACAGUGGGAUGAAUUUUUGGGUCCAUUCCAACCCUAACCACAAUUUUCUGUGUAUUACUGAACCAGCACAUUUCAAUCUGCUGCUCUCACUCUUUCCAAAACCCACUGGAAGGUGGAGAGGCAGAUUUGGGGGAUCCCAAAGCAGGGGAGUUGUGCUGCACUGAUCCCAGCAGGGCUUGGAAUCCCCUGGGACCAGCUGGUGCUGCCAGGCUGCUCCUGAAGGUGACAUUUCCAUCUUUACUUCACAGCAGAGAGCUGCUCAGCAUUGUGGCAUUGCCACAAGUGGAUGGAACUCGACUCCCAAGGGAAGGUGCAGCCUAAACCUCUUUUUUACAACUCCUUUUUAAAUCACACUACCACAGUGUGUUUCUAUUUCCACAGCCUGUCCUGUGAUGUCACAGAAAAAUGACAGAUUUAUUGUGAGCAGCACUUGUAAGUAAUCUUUUCUAAUCAAGUGAUGGGUGUAAUAUGAAUAAAUGUCAUUGUUUU